CUAGAUCAUUCCCUACCAAUCUCUGAUAUAUAGUCCAAUAGUGUCAUAAGAUAUUUGACACGUUUCAUAUCUUGUUAUCUUUCAUCUCAUAGCAUCACAUCAUUCAUUAAGAUUUCUUUCUCUUCUAUUUGUGUUUCUCUUACCAAAGUGUCUAGCAAACAUUAUUCUUUCCUCAAUAAUCGAACACGUAAAUCAGGGUCUUGUACUAGCUUUCCAAAGGAAGAAAGUGAGUUGAUUCCUGAGUUGUAUCAUCUUUCCAAGGUUCUUUUCCUGAACUUUUUGUCUCUGUGUUCGUGUGUGUGCGUGCCUUGGAGUUUCUUGAUUUUUGGUACAUGGUGUUGAAAGAAGCUAAUUCCAUGAUGCUCAAAGAUCUAAUGGAAGAAAAGCAGUUAAAUUUCAAUCAGCCACUAUUAUCAGUAAGGCGGUUCUCAUCAACAGUGGCCUCAGAAACAGACCACAAAAGCAAAACUGAUAACCCAUUUCUUCCACCUCCUCCCGCUUACAAAUCAGACUUAAAGUCAGUUCCAGUGAGGAAUGCAGGAACUGUUCCUUUUUUAUGGGAGAAGGCCCCAGGAAGGCCCAAAGAUGAAAGCAAAUUACAGGCACAAGCUGUUGAGGAGCCUCCAAUCAUCACUCCAAACAUUCCACCUGGGAGAGUGUCACACAUUAGGCAACAAUCACUUGCUGAUAUGAGAACUGGAAGCACCCUUUCCAACUCUCAAAGUGUUGCUUCUUUGGAUAGAAAGUCAACAAAAUAUUCAAAAGAUGAUAAGGAGAAGGGAGGUUUUGAUUCAGAUGAUGGAGAUGAGGCCUAUGAAGAUGCUCUUGACAUACUUUCCAGGACUGACUCAUUCUUCAUGAGCUGUAGUGUGAAUGGUUUGAGUGGAUGGGAUGAACAAGAGGUACAACCGUGCGGAAGUUUCUCAAGUGAUUUCAUGAUUGAUAGGUUCUUGCCUGCAGCAAAGGCAAUGACAUCUGAAGCACCUCAAUAUGCUUCCAAGAAGGCACAUGUUGGACAAGAGCAACAAAAACAGAAAAAGAAAGAACUGAAUACAGAAAGUUCAUGUCCCUUUAAUCAGCAUAGGCCAAAAGCUUUGCCAUAUUACAACCAAGAUGCUGAUAGGGAAGAAAGUGAAGAUGAGAGUGAUGAUUGCAAUGAAAAUGAAAAUUACACAACCACAACCUGUGGCCGAUUUCCUCGGUUCUGCCUUUUGAAUCCAAUAACUGGACUGAGGAUGGUGGAUAAGGUUCAAAGAAAUGCAGCUCAUGGAAUGCAACCUAAAUCAGCUGCUUCUCACAUUGAAUGCACAAAAGAGCAAGCUAGGACUCCUUAUAGGAAAAAGUUAGACUCCCAGUCUGGCUUUACAGAUGAAAAAGAGAUUUUGGAUAUUCUUGUGAAAUCUAAACAUGGCAAUGAUCCACAUCAAAGAAGUUGCAGCAAAUCUGUAUCCUGUGAGAGCACUCAGCAUGAUCCUAGUUAUGAAAGCUAUGCUGAGAAAACUCUGCAUGUAGAUUCUGUACAUAAAGUUAAGUCUCAAACCAAUAACAUAGGGGGUGAUUUUGAGACUUUGAGAAGGGAUAAUGGCAUUUAUAAUAAUCCUUCAAUAGACUUAGAAAAGCAAGGAUUGACAAUGCCUCACAACCAAGGAAGUGACUUAUAUCAGGAUUCUAAUAUUCUAACUCAGAAUUCAGAACUUGAUAUGAAAAGCCAACUAGCUACCAAAUGUUUUGAUCAAGAAUGCACUUUGGCUAGCUCAAAGGUGAGACAUGAUGGGAUGAUUGACUUAGAAAGCCAAUGUCUUACAAACUUGGGCCAUCAAGAAAAAUAUGGUGCAAACUAUUUCCCACUUCCUCUUGUCCUCCCUUCACUAAAAGCUCCAUCAGAGUCUUGGCUUAAGCGCACUAUACCUACCAUUUCCAAAAGGAAGAUGACUUCACACUCUAACCUUAUUGCAAACAUUUAUGCACGAAGUCUAGUUUCCAAGACAACAGCACUUUAAGAGGGAAACUAUUGUCAAAUCCUCUAAUGUACAUCAUGGACAUCUGAAUCUCCCUGAGGAACUACAAACAUGCACACCAGAAACUUGAGCUUUAUGGAGAUCAGGCCUUUUAUAAUCUGACAUGUUUACAAAAAAUUUGGUGAUGUAAUUUUUGCAUCAGUGUUAUGUGUUCCCAUCCUCCAUGAGGUGUAUAUAACUGACACUGUAAAUCACUACUGCCUUUUGUAUCUUGUUAUUGUAAUAAUAAUUAGUUGAGUCA